rnacentral:rRNA from 1 species
CAGCCGCCGCGGGAAAACGAAGGGUGCAAGCGUUAAUCGGAAUUACUGGGCGUAAAGCGUGCGCAGGCGGCUUUGCAAGACAGAUGUGAAAUCCCCGGGCUCAACCUGGGACCUGCAUUUGUGACUGUAUAGCUAGGGUACGGUAGAGGGGGAUGGAAUUCCGCGUGUAGCAGUGAAAUGCGAAGAUAUGCGGAGGAACACCGAUGGCGAAGGCAAUCCCCUGGACCUGUACUGACGCUCAUGCACGAAAGCGUGGGGAGCAAACAGGAUUAGAUACCCCAGUAGUCCCUGUCUCUUAUAC